rnacentral:rRNA from 1 species
CCUACGGGCGGCAGCAGUGGGGAAUAUUGGACAAUGGGGGGAACCCUGAUCCAGCGACGCCGCGUGAGUGAAGAAGUAUUUCGGUAUGUAAAGCUCUAUCAGCAGGGAAGAAAGAAAUGACGGUACCUGACUAAGAAGCCCCGGCUAACUACGUGCCAGCAGCCGCGGUAAUAAGUAGGGGGCAAGCGUGAUCCGGAUAUACUGGGGGUAAAGGGGGCGUAGACGGCGAUGCAAAUCUGAAGUGAAAGGCGGGGGCCCAACCCCCGGACUGCUUUGGAAACGGUAUGGCUGGAGUGCAGGAGAGGUAAGUGGAAUUCCUAGUGUAGCGGUGAAAUGCGUAGAUAUUAGGAGGAACACCAGUGGCGAAGGCGGCUUACUGGACUGUAACUGACGUUGAGGCUCGAAAGCGUGGGGAGCAAACAGGAUUAGAUACCCCUGUAGUC